UGUUCUUCUCUUACCUUCACAUGUCUUCACACAUGAAUUGAAAAAGGGUAAGUCUUCUCUUUCUUUGUUUCAUCACCAAUAACCCAAAGUAUAUGGUUUCCACUUUCCAUAUUAUUAUCUUUGUACAUUUGUUUUUCUGAUCUAUUAUUAUUAUUAUUAUUAUUAUUAUUAUUUAAUUAUUAGUGCAAAAAAUUGCCAUUUUAAAGUGAUAAAAUAUAUACUUUUAAUCUUUAAUUAAAAAUUUUUUAAAAACAGCUGCAUGCAGUCAUACAACAAAUUGAAUUUGCAUUCCAUUUGUAUAAAUAUUUUUUUUCCUAUAUCCAUUUGUAUUAAUAUCUCUAUAAUUUAGAAUGGACAACUCAUCAUUAUAUUAUUAUGAUCUUUUAUGCUAUAUGAAGUUGAAAGAGACUUUUUUAUGAUACUUGUUUAAUAGGUUAUUAUUCCGCCACCAAUUAUAACGAUCCGCCGCCGGCUUAUAUAUAUGAUCCAUGGGCCAAUUUUCGUCAUCUUCCUCCUCCUCAACCAACCAAAAAAUCACCUCGCCAUGGUUCUCAGCAUCUUCAUUCUCAUCCUCGUCUUUGUCCACAAUCACAACAUAUAUAGUUCUUACAUUUUUGAUGAUCAUU
rnacentral:lncRNA from 1 species